rnacentral:rRNA from 1 species
UACGUAGGGUCGCAAGCGUUGAAUCGGAAUUACUGGGCGUAAAGCGUGCGCAGGCGGUUUUGUAAGUCUAGUCGUGAAAGCCCCGGGCUCAACCUGGGAAUUGCGAUGGGAGACUGCAAGGCUUGAAUCUGGCAGAGGGGGGUAGAAUUCCGACGUGGUAAGCAGUGAAAUGCGUAGAGAUGUGGAGGAACACCGAUGGCGAAGGCAGCCCCCUGGGUCAAGAUUGACGCUCGAUGACACGAAAGCGUGGGGAGCAAACAGG